rnacentral:tRNA from 1 species
GCGGGUGUAGCUCAACGGUAGAGCAGAAGCCUUCCAAGCUUAUGACGAGGGUUCGACUCCCUUCACCCGCUCCA